rnacentral:rRNA from 1 species
GACGAACUGUGCAAACGUUAUUCGGAAUCACUGGGCUUGAAGAGUGCGUAGGCGGUUUCGUAAGUAGGGUGUGAAAGCCCCCGGCUCAACCGGGGAACUGCGUCCUAAACUGCGGGGCUGGAGUGAGGUAGGGGUGUGUGGAACUUCCAGUGGAGCGGUGAAAUGCGUAGAGAUCGGAAAGAACACCAACGGCGAAAGCACUCUGCUGGGCCGACACUGACACUGAGAGACGAAAGCUAGGGGAGCGAAUGGG